AUGAGUAUUCGCUUAACGACCGCCGUAUAAAAUCAAAUCAUUGAAAUGGCUAAAAUAAAAAUAAAUUCGUUGACGUCAGGAUUUUACUUACGAUUUCACCAAAAUCGCUGACCAUUUUCCGAUAAAUCUUUUUAUAGAACCAGACGGUUCAAUUUAACAAAUUUCUAGUCAUAAGAAAAAUAUGUUGGUAUAAGUGAUGCUGAAAUGAAGAAUAUAUAUUAUUCAUCUGAGCAGACGAUGACUCGACAGAAAUAUCGAUAUAAGUAAACUCGUUCGAAGAUAAAUUAAUUUCGUUGUAUGAGAAUUCAAUACGAGUGAAAGUAUAGGAAAAUAACUGUAUUUCUUCACUAUAUAUAAUAAGAUGCGUAGUAAUUUUAAAGACAUUAUCAGAUGCGUGUAGUUAUUGUAUCUAUUGUUUUUUUUUUGUUUUAUUUGUUAAUAUCUUUUGAAUAUCUGGCUGGGUAUUCUUAAGGUAUUUUUUAUAUUUUAUAAGAUGAACCAGGCGUUUUCUACCAAUAUUUUCCUAUUUACAUAAACUAUUUGAUAUAUUUCUUAGCAAAGUUAUUCUAGCCUCAGCAGCUCUGAAUUGAGGUGAACUACUUAAUCACAACUAAACAACGCUGGAAGAACGUCACAUCAGAGUAUACAUACAAGAAUAGUUGGGUUAAUCAACAGAAGCUCUAUUCUAUUGAUAGCAGGCGAGGAAGUGUCGAUGUACCCUCUACAUAUAACUUGAGGAAUGAAGAGAAAUGAACACAAUGAAGACGUUAUAAAACUACCAACGAAGUACUUGUGCUUUGGGAAUAUAUUACUAUUGACCAUUUAGACCAUUUUUUUUUUCAGGCUUUCUCUUACGUCUUAUUCAUAAACGUGAAAUAAGCUUCAUAUAGUUAAAGGUCUAAAGGUCAUAAAAAGUUUCAUGACAGCGAUAAUAUAUAUGAAAAAGCGUGUUAAAAUAAUUGGCUAAAUUUCAUAAAAUAGCAUUAGAUACAGAUAAAAAUCUAUCAAAGGGAUUCUAACAAUGCUUACGAUUUUAAUAAUGUUUACCACCUUAAUGGCACGUUCGUUUGCUAUACUAAUGAACUAAAUAUAUUUAAAUAUUCUCUUGCCAGGAAUCGAGCCAGCUAAAUUUUUAUAAUUUUACACUUAUUAACAUCAAAUAACAAAUAGUUAUCUAUUCACUGUACUGUAUUGAAUGACCUUUAAUGUAAACAAAAAUUUCAUCUUAGAAAUUUAAUGCUCCAUUGUUAAUGACUGAUAGAUAGAUGUGAUAGAUAUGCAUCACCUUACCUAGGCUACGUGAGGUUUUUAAAAAUAAAGUUUUCUUUGAA